rnacentral:rRNA from 1 species
UAGUCGGGACCUAAGCUGAGGCCGAAAGGCGUAGGUGAUGGACAACAGGUUGAUAUUCCUGUACUACCGAUAACCGUUUGAGAGAAGGGAUGACACAGUAGGAUAAGCUAAGCACACUGUUGGUUAUGUGUGCCCAAGCAUUGAGGCAGUCAAAGUAGGCAAAUCCGCUUUGAUAAUGCUGGGAUGUGAUGGGGAGCGAAAUUUAGUAGCGAAGUAGCUGAUUUCACACUGUCAAGAAAAGUCUCUAUCGAGGGUAAAGGUACCCGUACCGCAAACCGACACAGGUGGGGGAGGAGAGUAUCCUAAGGCCAGCGAGAGAACUGUUGUUAAGGAACUCGGCAAAAUGACCCCGUAACUUAGGGAUAAGGGGUGCCACCAUCAGGUGGCCGCAGAGAAUAGGCCCAAGCGACUGUUUACCAAAAACAUAGGUUUCUGCUAAGUCGCAAGACGAUGUAUAGGAGCUGACGCCUGCCCGGUGCUGGAAGGUUAAGGGGAUCUGUUAGAGCAAUCGAAGCAGUGAACUUAAGCCCCAGUAAACGGCGGCCGUAACUAUAACGGUCCUAAGGUAGCGAAAUUCCUUGUCGGGUAAGUUCCGACCCGCACGAAAGGCGUAACGAUUUGGGCACUGUCUCA